GCCCCCUCCCCACAGAGCUCCGAUGGCCCCUGAGGUGGCUCCUGUUCCACCGGCCGGUGCCCCUGACCCAGGACGGCCCCAGAGAGUCUGGGGGGAUUUUGGGGGGCAUUUUUGGGAUUUUGUGGCAAUUUUGAUGAAUUUUAGGAGGGUUUUUGGGGAUUAUCUUGGGGCUUCUUUAGGGCUUUAUUGGGUAUUUGAUAGAAGUUCAGGAGGAAUUAUUGGGGUUUUGGAGAGAAUUAUUGGGUUUUGGGGGGUUAUGGGAUUUUGGGGGUUUUAUGGAACUGGGGAGUUUUGGAUUUUGGGAGAUUUUAUUGGGGCUUGGGGGUUGGUUUUUGAGGGGGUUUAGUGAAAUUUUGGGGAGGUUUUUGAGUUUUGAUGUGUUUCACUGGGAUUUUGUGGUGUUCUCCGGGGUUUUGGAGGAUCUUAUUGCAAUUUCUUGAGGAAUUUGAGAUUUUUAGUGGAAUUUGUGGGGGAUUUGGGCGUCUGGGGCCUUUGGGGUUGUCCCAGGGUUUGCGGAAGGACUGAGAGGCAUCAAAAUCUCCUUAAAAGCCCCAAAAGUCCCAAUAAAACUCAUGAAAUCUGAAAUAAAUAUGACAAAAACCCAUGAGAACACCCUAGAAUCCCAAUAAAAGCCCACAAAAUCUUUUGAAAUCCCAAUAACCCCCAAAAUUCCCGUGAAACUCCAUAAAUCCCCCCAAAAAUGUCCCCUAAAUAAUAAAAAUCCCAUAAAAUCCCCCCGAAGACCCAAAGAAAUCAUGGCAACACCCAAAAAAAACCCACAAAACCCCAAAAAUCCCACGAAAAUUCUGAAAGAAACCAAAUCCCCAAUGAAUCCCACUAAGAGCUCCCACAAUUCCAGUAAAAUGCCUCAAAAUCUCCUAGAAAUCCCAAUAAACACCCCAGAAUUUCUGAGAAUCCCAAAAAAACCAAGUAAAAUCCCAGUAAAACCUCCCAAAAUACAAAAAAAAAAAAAAAUCAAUAAACCCCCAAACACCCCCAGAACAACACUCCCCCCAAAGUGCCAAUAAAACCCCCAAAAUCCAAACCCCCCAAAAUCCACAAAAGCCCCCAACAUUUCCCACCUUGUCCCAGCAUGUCUGCAGUCAUUUCCAGGCGCUGCCAGUGCCCCAGGAAGGUGUCAGUUCUCCCAGUGUGAUCCCCCAGCCAUGCCCAGAAUAUCCCAGCUGCCUCCAGCAUGCAUCCAGUCCUGCCCAGUUCCUCCAGUUUGCUUGCAGCAUGAUCCCAGUUUCUCUCAGGAUUUCCAUUGCCAACCCCCAUUGAGGCUGUGAGGAAAAUGCCCCAGAACAUGCAAGCAGAGCAGGAGCUGAGCAUGGAGAGCAGGGAGGACAAAUCCCCGCGGCAGAACCUCGUGGCAGAGGCCGUUUUGAGCGGCUCCACGGCGCAGGAACCCAACGGGGAGGAAAAGCCCCGGAGAUGCC